GAUGAAGAGCGCAGCGAAAUGCGAUAAGUAAUGUGAAUUGCAGAAUUCAGUGAAUCAUCGAAUCUUUGAACGCACAUUGCGCCCGCCAGUAUUCUGGCGGGCAUGCCUGUUCGAGCGUCAUUACAACCCUCAGGCCCCCGGGCCUGGCGUUGGGGAUCGGCGGAAGCCCCCUGCGGGCACAACGCCGUCCCCCAAAUACAGUGGCGGUCCCGCCGCAGCUUCCAUUGCGUAGUAGCUAACACCUCGCAACUGGAGAGCGGCGCGGCCACGCCGUAAAACACCCAACUUCUGAAUGUUGACCUCGAAUCAGGUAGGAAUACCCGCUGAACUUAAGCAUAUCAAUAAGCGGAGGA
rnacentral:misc_RNA from 1 species